rnacentral:rRNA from 1 species
GACGAACCGUGCGAACGUUGUUCGGAAUCACUGGGCGUAAAGGGUGCGUAGGCGGGUCUUUAAGUCAGGGGUGAAAUCCUGGAGCUCAACUCCAGAACUGCCUUUGAUACUGAAGAUCUUGAGUUCGGGAGAGGUGAGUGGAACUGCGAGUGUAGAGGUGAAAUUCGUAGAUAUUCGCAAGAACACCAGUGGCGAAGGCGGCUCACUGGCCCGAUACUGACGCUGAGGCACGAAAGCGUGGGGAGCAAACAGGG